UGAGUUUGAUUCUGGCUCAGAACGAACGCUGGCGGCAGGCCUCAUACAUGCAAGUCGAGCGGUCCUUCGGGACAGCGGCGAACGGGUUAGUAACGCGUGGGAACGUGCCCUUUAGUACGGAAUAGCCAUUGGAAACGAUGUUUAAUACCGUAUACGCCCCAUGGGGGAAAGAUUUAUCGCUAAAGGAUCGGCCCGCGUUAGAUUAGGUAGUUGGUAGGGUAAUGGCCUACCAAGCCGACGAUCUAUAGCUGGUUUGAGAGGAUGAUCAGCAACACUGGGACUG
rnacentral:rRNA from 1 species